UGGAAGCCCGCGUUAGGGGUUGAAGCGGUUAUCCUUUUGCGGCGCCCGGCAUAGGGCGGCGCAAAAGAUAAAAGCGGAAGACCCGACGGCGC
rnacentral:misc_RNA from 1 species